CACAAAAGAUGCUUCUGAUGGCUUUCUCCAUCCUUGCUUUCAUCUCCAGAAUGUUCAGACACUAAAAUUCACUCCCAAAUCCUAAUUCCGGAAUAUUAGCAGAUUGUUCUAGAGUACCCCCCCGCAAUGGCAGGCUUAGUUAGGACAGAAUACUGUGAAAACCAGUAAGACCUAACUGAGGGUGAUCGGCUUCCCUCAAGCCCUAAAGGGGCGAAAUUACACAGGUUACGUGGAUGUGGGACCCUAUACGCUACCCUCAAUCUGCCCACUCGCCCACCCGAGACAGAGGGAGGCACGGGAAUUUAGAUGGCGAGGGGUCAUUCAUUCUGCCUUUGAUUCCGCAGACGUGUGGCCCGGAGAAGGUGAGCUGUAGAGGGGUAAGCCCUGUGACGUGGCGUUCUGGGUGGGUGUCGGUUUCCGUGGGUCUCUUGGCAAGAACACGGGGGUGAGCGUGUUGAGCGGUUUUUCAAGGGUCAUUUUGACUGCAGAAGAUUUCUGCGCCGUUCACGGCCUUCAGAACCUAAUCUGCAUUCAAGAUCUCGAUUCCACGGAGUUACAGCAGCCACAACCAUCCCGGUCUUUCCCCAUCAAUUGUUCCAGGUGCAGAUCCAGUUCGCCCUGCGCUCGUGGUUCCGACUGCUUUUUCUUCUACACAAGUGGCACCAGGACUUGGUGGUUUUGAGAUGCCCUGAUGGCACCCAGGAGGCAUGGAGGGCGACCGGCCUGAGGAGUUAGAGGCGGGAGCCACAGAGUGACAAGGAGCAGAGCUGAGCUGGGAAGUCUGCUACAAGUGGUUCUCAGGGAAGUCCUGCUGCUUGCCCAGCACUGCACAUACGCAACCUCGUGGAACCUGUGGAACGACUCUGAGCUGAGUUGAAGGAUGAGUGGACUGAGGCUAAAACCAGGUAAGGUGGCCAAGGUCACACACCUGUCAGUGGAGAAGCGCACUGAGCCAGCAGCCGGACCCCAGGUUGGCACUUGCAGCUGCACUGCCCCCCCCCCCCGCCCUGUCCUCGCCCAGUGGGGAAUGGCCAGAGCAGUGGGAAGACAUUUAGGAGACUGCAGCACUGAGGAGGUCAAGUCCCAAGAGCUGCUGGGGCUGCCCUCUAGGUACUGCAGAGCUGAAAGGGAGCAGGCAGUGGGGAGACUGGUGGAAUGGGGGCCCAGAGUUAGGAGGAGAGGCCCAAGGUGGCCAGCCCUGGCUGUGCUGCAGACACUAACUACAGUCGACUGCCCUUGUCAGAGCGUUUGAUGAUGUUGGCAGGGACAGGAAGCGCCCUCCUGCCUUCCAGUCCCUUGUACUGAAGGAAGAGGCUGGCAGAGCAGAGGUUGGCAUCUCCUCCAGCCAUGUCAUCCGCCCCCCCCCCCCAUCACAGACACACAGGAAGUUGGGUGUGAAGCUGCCAGCCCGUAGCUUGAUAAUGACCCAUGGUUUUGCAGGGAGUUGGCUGGUUUACCUGGGCUGUGGCAUGCACAGCAAAUCCGCAUUGAAACCUAUGAAAUCUGAGACCUGGAAAAGAGUUCAAAUACUAGUUUCAUAGCCUAAAAAGAUGUUUAUUAAAGUAAAGCAUAUAUGAAGUAUACAGAUUUCAAGUGAACUCCAGGAUCUUUCCCAUUAAUCAGUGGUAUGCUCCUAAAUGUUUCACUGGCUCACUGGGGGGCAGAGGGGCUGUGCUUUUGAUGAUUUCCAUGUGUAAAUACUCCCAGAUGGCAGAUUUCAAGCUGCCAAUGUGACGUCACUGAAUCACCAGGAGAAAUCGUUCAGACAGGAGGGAUGGGAACAGGCGGAGAGCUCAGCUAGAGUCCAAUAGUAGUAAGGGAUGAACCGUGUACUCAUUACCUUUGUUUUUCAUGUAAUUUAUUUAAUUGGAAGUUUAUAUAAUUACAUUUUUUUUUAAGAUUUAUUUAUUCAUUCAUGAGAGACACAGGCUGAAGAGAGAGGCAGAGACACAGGCUGAAGGAGAAGCAGGCUCCACGCAGGGAGCCUGACGUGGGCCUCAAUCCCGGGUCUCCAGAAUCAGGCCCUGGGCUGAAGGUGGCACUAAACCGCUGAGCCACCCGGGCUGCCCUAAUUACAAUUUUAAUACUGGCUUUAGCAGCUGGCUUCCCCAAAUUCUGGAAAUGUAGCAAGCAGCCCUGGCCAGCUGACCCCAGCCCGUGUGGCCCUGUGCAGAGCAGGGUGGGCCCUUCCCACCUCCCCACUGGCUCCUGGCACCUCCUUCUCUCAGCGUGGGUCAGCUCUGCCUGUUUGCACUUCAUACACGCGGGACCCUGCAGCAUGAAGCCGCCUCUGUGGCUCUUUCCCCCGACACCGGGGAGGACCACCCGGGUGGGGCUAUCAGAGCCGUCCGCCCUUACUGCAGUGUUCUGCUGAGCAGCAGACUGUAGGAGCUUAUUGCCACUUGGCCGUUCUGCUGUUGGUGAAUACGUGGUUUGUCUCCCCCUCUGGCGGCCACGAACACUGCUGGAAAGUGCAGUCUGCCUUUGGUGGGGGUGUGCCCUCCCCAUGCUUCAGUACAAACCCAGCUUCAUGUGGUGGCUUCAGUCCUACUGGGAACUUAGCUGUGUGCCGGGACCAUCCUCUCUCUCCUCGCUCAUGCACACCCCAAGCAUCUUCCCGGGAUUAAUAAUACAUGAUGGUUUCUUACAAGAUUCACAGUUGUGUAAAAUGUUACCUUAAGUUCUUAAUAUUCAUUCAUUCAUUCACUCAUUCAUAUUUUAAGUGGGCUCCUCGCCCAACAUGGAGCCCAACGAAGGGUUUGAACCGACGACCCUGAGAUCACAACCUGACCUGAGAUCAAGAGUCAGAAGCUCAACCAACCGAGCCGCCCAGGUGUCCCAAUCUUACUAGUGGUCUUGCUAGUGAGAAACAGUUGUCUUAAUUAAAACCCAAGCCUAAAAAGCUGCAUAUUGCAGAAAGAUGUUAACUGGCUUCACUGGUAGCUCAUGAGACUUAAUAUUCUCUCUUGCUUAUUUGGCUAAAAUCCUAAAAUGUACUGUCAAUACUGCGAUAAGGUUUACCAUUGGAAUCUGACAGUGGCCGUGGGGUAGCCUGAAGGAAAGUAUAUGCAAACUCCAGCUGCAACUGUGGGCAUCUGUAGAAUCUGGAACAGACCAGACCAGUUAUUUAGCUCCAACAGGCGAUGAGUCGGGGACAAACAGUAGAGAACUCUGACAAAAGAUGUGUUGCUGGCGGGAUCCCCGGGGGGCUCAGCCGUUGAGCGCCUGCCUUCGGCCCAGGCCAUGAUCCUGGAGUCCUGGGAUCGAGUCCCGCAUCGGGCUUCCUGCGGGGAGCCUGCUUCUCCCUCUGCCUCUCUCUGUGUCAUGAAUAAAUGAAUAAAAUCUAAAAAAAAAAAUAAUGCGUUGGUGGGAAGUGCACUUUUCUAUGAGAGCCGGUCAGGGAUUUUCUGCGGCAGAGGCACACCCUUCUUAUGACAAUGUAACUGUAAAGCCAUUGGGCCCUGCAAUUUCACCACAGCUCACGUGCCAUGGCCCACGUGAUCCACAGAACACUUUGAGGCAGGGGCGCCCAUUCUGCAGGUGAAGAAAUGGAACCCCUUGCAGGGGAAAGCCCCCCUGCCCCCGCCCCAGCUGGACUUUGAACCCAAGUCUGACUGCAGAGUCUGGGCUGACCACAUUUGCUAUGUUGCCUUCCACUUUGCCCCCAGUACACGGAACAAGCGAGGUCUCAGAGACAACGUGCACAAAGGGGCAGAAAGUCUCAUGGAGCUGAGUGCCGGCAGGAGGGACCCAUGUCUGUCCUGGGUCUGCUUCUGGUGGGUGCAUGGGCCCACUCAUGGAGGCAGCUGGGGGCAGUGUGGCAUCCUUGCUGUCAGUGCCCAGGAGCGGGCUGAGGGACCACUGGCUCCUCCACGUCCAGGGCCAGAUGUGAGGGGUCUUCUCGUCCCUGGGGCUGCAAACACAGAUUUGGGGAAUUCACUGGGGCUCAGAGAGGCCAGGAAAUCAUGGGUACCUCCCAAGUGCCAUAGGAGAAAGCACACCUUCCCCAGUGAGGGCCCCUCAGGUCAGGUGCCCCCGUGCCAGGGAGCGCAGAGGGGCCACGUGUCCAGGGGCCUGCCCCUCCACCCGUCUGCCCCCCCAGAAGCCACUCAUAAGGACCACACAGAGCCCCAGGCUCAUUUC